rnacentral:rRNA from 1 species
UGGGGAAUUUUGCGCAAUGGACGAAAGUCUGACGCAGCAACGCCGCGUGGGUGAUGAAGGUCUUCGGAUUGUAAAACCCUGUCGUCAGGGACGAAGGUGCGCUCGUGAAUAGCGGGUGUGCUUGACGGUACCUGGCAAGGAAGCCCCGGCUAACUCCGUGCCAGCAGCCGCGGUAAUACGGGGGGAGCAAGCGUUGUUCGGAUUUACUGGGCGUAAAGGGCGCGUAGGCGGCCACCGCAAGUCACUUGUGAAAUCUCCGGGCCUAACCCGGAAAGGUCAACUGAUACUGCGGGGCUAGAGUGCAGAAGGGGCAACUGGAAUUCUCGGUGUAGCGGUGAAAUGCGUAGAUAUCGAGAGGAACACCUGCGGCGAAGGCGGGUUGCUGGGCUGACACUGACGCUGAUGUGCGAAAGCUAAGGGAGCGAAC